rnacentral:rRNA from 1 species
GAUGAACGCUGGCGGCGUGCCUCAGACAUGCAAGUCGAACGAGAAAGUUCCCUUCGGGGAGCGAGUAAAGUGGCGCACGGGUGAGUAACACGUAGGUAAUCUACCUUCGGGUGGGGAAUAACCCAGGGAAACUUGGGCUAACACCGCAUAAUGCAGCGGCACCACAUGGUGACAGUUGUUAAAGCGGGGGAUUUUAGGACCUCGCGCCUGAAGAGGAGCCUGCGGCGGAUUAGCUUGUUGGUAAGGUAACGGCUUACCAAGGCGACGAUCCGUAGCCGGCCUGAGAGGGCGGUCGGCCACACUGACACUGACAUACGGGUCAGACUCCUACGGGAGGCAGCAGUCGGGAAUUUUUGGGCAAUGGGCGAAAGCCUGACCCAGCAACGCCGCGUGAAGGA